rnacentral:rRNA from 1 species
UAUGAUUUGGGCUACACACGUGCUACAAUGGACAAUACAAAGGGCAGCGAAACCGCGAGGUCAAGCAAAUCCCAUAAAGUUGUUCUCAGUUCGGAUUGUAGUCUGCAACUCGACUACAUGAAGCUGGAAUCGCUAGUAAUCGUAGAUCAGCAUGCUACGGUGAAUACGUUCCCGGGUCUUGUACACACCGCCCGUCACACCACGAGAGUUUGUAACACCCGAAGCCGGUGGAGUAACCUUUUAGGAGCUAGCCGUCGAAGGUGGGACAAAUGAUUGGGGUGAAGUCGUAACAAGGUAGCCGUAUCGGAAGGUGCGGCUGGAUCACCUCCUUUCUAAGGA